rnacentral:rRNA from 1 species
GACGAACGCUGGCGGCGUGCUUAACACAUGCAAGUCGAACGGAAAGGCCCUGCUUUUGUGGGGUGCUCGAGUGGCGAAAGGGUGAGUAACACGUGAGUAACCUGCCCUUGACUUUGGGAUAACUUCAGGAAACUGGGGCUAAUACCGGAUAGGAGCUCCUGCUGCAUGGUGGGGGUUGGAAAGUUUCGGCGGUUUGGGAUGGACUCGCGGCUUAUCAGCUUGUUGGUGGGGUAGUGGCUUACCAAGGCUUUGACGGGUAGCCGGCCUGAGAGGGUGACCGGCCACAUUGGGACUGAGAUACGGCCCAGACUCCUACGGGAGGCAGCAGUGGGGAAUAUUGCACAAUGGGCGGAAGCCUGAUGCAGCAACGCCGCGUGCGGGAUGACGGCCUUCGGGUUGUAAACCGCUUUCGCCUGUGACGAAGCGUGAGUGACGGUAAUGGGUAAAGAAGCACCGGCUAACUACGUG